rfam:Triticum aestivum genome assembly, contig: Triticum_aestivum_CS42_TGACv1_scaffold_322643_4BL
UACAUACUCCCUCCGCCGAAAAAACUUGUCCCUCAAAUGAAUGUAUCUAGCACCAAGUUAGUGCUAGAUACAUUCAUUUGAGGAACAAGCUUGGGACAAGCUUUUUCAGACGCAGGGAGUACAAC